UUAUAGGCAAAACUUGGUGCAAAAAUGAGGAAAAUUUGACAUUUUGUCAAACAGGGUAAGGAACUUGGUUCCUCGAAUAACUUCUGGCACAUGCAUCUGAGGGCAUGGCCGUCCAAGAAGAAAAUGUAGCCAUUGAUGCCAUCUAUCGACCACAGGUUAAAGAUUGGCGAUCCGUUGGAUACCGACCGAGUUAUAGGCAAAACUUGGUGCAAAAAUGAGGAAAAUUUGACAUUUUGUCAAACAGGGUAAGGAACUUGGUUCCUCGAAUAACUUCUGGCACAGACAUCUGAGGGCAUGGCUGUCCAAGAAGAAAAUGUAGCCAUUGAUGCCAUCUAUCGACCACAGGUUAAAGAUUGGCGAUCCGUUGGAUACCGACCGAGUUAUAGGCAAAACUUGGUGCAAAAAUGAGGAAAAUUUGACAUUUUGUCAAACAGGGUAAGGAACUUGGUUCCUCGAAUAACUUCUGGCACACACAUCUGAGGGCAUGGCCGUCCAAGAAGAAAAUGUAGCCAUUGAUGCCAUCUAUCGACCACAGGUUAAAGAUUGGCGAUCCGUUGGAUACCGACCGAGUUAUAGGCAAAACUUGGUGCAAAAAUGAGUCUUGUGAAAUUUUCAA